UGAAGACCAGCUGACCUGCUGAGUUCAAUGUGGCUCAAUGUGCUGACUUGCUGAGACGAAAGUGAUGGGCUCAAUGUGGGUUUCCAUGGUUUUACGAUUUUGCCCUUCUUUUAAAAAACAGAUGCACCGUUGUUUGUUGCUGAGCUCAACCUAUUAUCCACUGGAUUCAAUCUAAGACGUGCAGUAGCAGAGAAAAUCACAUCAAUUGAAGGAAAAAGAUGAAAACUUUUAUGGGAUGCAAAUGCAAGUACUUGUGGAUAUAUUCCAUCCUUUUCUGUCCUCCAAAGAGUGAGGAAGAAAAGGAAGAACAACCUCUGUGAAAUUUGUGGAGGAUGGCAAAAAAUUGUGGUAAAACUCCUGCUCCUAUUUUUUUCACGGUACUUUGGGCCUUUUGUUUUUAGAUUUUAAUAUUCUUCUCUUAAAUACUAGCUUUGAGUGAAUCCUUUUACCUGUCAAAAUGAAAUCUGCCAAAAUUAUAUCAAGUGCAUCUGUUAAAUCAGAAGCUAAAUGAUAAAUAACAUUAACUAAUAUGGAACAAAAGGGUCGAGUUUAAGACUUUUCACUUUGACUUUUACAGAGAAGUUUAAAGAUUUUCCGAAGAAACCUCUAAGCUGGUUCAGGAAUCAUUUUUUGCUCAGACAAGUCAAUAUUUCUAAAGUAGUAUAUGUUUGAGAGUAAGACUAGAGAGAUGAUUGUCUACACAACCGAAGGAAGAAGCAAUCUUUAUUUGUGGUCCAGGAAUAAACAAAUGGUGAAGAUAGCCUUUAAGUAGGUGUUUGUUCACCUUUUAUUGUUGUUUUUCCUUUUUUGGGUUUUAAUGAUAGUAUAAGUUCUAAUUAAUUCAGGUUCUGUUUAAUUGAUAUGUGAGAAUACCUUAAACUAGGUGACUUGGUUGAGCAGAUAUUGUGCACAUCCGUAUUUGGAACUCCAUAGCAUGUCAGCUUCCUUAUUUGGCUAUCUAGAUAGACUAUUUUGUAGUGUGAAAAUGUCAUCUUCUUUUGAUGGGCUUUUGAAUAACGAAUCAUUAGUUUCUUUUCAUUGAUUAAUUUUAUAGAUUGAUUACACUUUUGUUGUUAGAGUAAGUUUUACUUGGUAAUAAAUUUGUAUAUUUCAUCUUUAACCUUUUGGGUUCAUUUCUUGAACUUCAAUAUUUAUAGGUAUAAACUUGUUGAAAAAAGGAUGAGAGGCAUUGGCAGUGUGAGGAGGGACGUAAAAGAAAAGAAGAAAGGUGUGCGAAAAAGUGCAAGUUGAAAUACUGAUACUGAAAUGAUUAUGGUCAUUACUGUAAUGAUUAAAAUGUUAAGAAAAAGCUAGAGAUUGAGUUUCAAGAAAAGACCCUUGGGUUACUUGGCGCUAACAUAGGCAUUGGUCAUUUAAGUUUCCUAUUCUUUGGGAAAUUCACUAUUAUUUGACCAUUUCAAUAUUCUUUUACCAUACUAGAGCUACUGUGUUUGGUUGACUGUAUCAUUGAUAGCUAUUUAAUGUAACUUGUCUUUACUCC